rnacentral:rRNA from 1 species
AUUGAACGCUAGCGGGAUGCUUUACACAUGCAAGUCGAACGGCAGCGCGGACUUCGGUCUGGCGGCGAGUGGCGAACGGGUGAGUAAUGUAUCGGAACGUGCCCAGUAGCGGGGGAUAACUACGCGAAAGCGUAGCUAAUACCGCAUACGCCCUACGGGGGAAAGCAGGGGAUCGUAAGACCUUGCACUAUUGGAGCGGCCGAUAUCGGAUUAGCUAGUUGGUGAGGUAACGGCUCACCAAGGCGACGAUCCGUAGCUGGUUUGAGAGGACGACCAGCCACACUGGGACUGAGACACGGCCCAGACUCCUACGGGAGGCAGCAGUGGGGAAUUUUGGACAAUGGGGGCAACCCUGAUACAGCCAUCCCGCGUGUGCGAUGAAGGCCUUCGGGUUGUAAAGCACUUUUGGCAGGAAAGAAACGUCGCGGGCUAAUACCCCGUGGAACUGACGGUACCUGCAGAAUAAGCACCGGCUAACUACGUG